GGCCAGUUCAAUGGAUUUUAAAAAUUAUUAUUCUCUAGAAAAAAGACCACGAACUUUGGAGUGGACAUCCUGAGACCUGCCUACGAAGACCAUUAGGGUAAAGAAGUCACCCCUUCACCCCAGGACCAGGAAGCCUCCAGGAUGGCAUAAGCGACCAAACAGCUGGGAGCCAAGCACAGUGCAGGGGGCUUGGGGUCGGCGGCCGGAGGCUGGGUGGCCUCCAGAAGACACUCCCCUGAUUCCUACACCGAGGGAACACACAGCAGCAAGCUAGGAAAGAAGGGGUGACCCAGCCCAACGCUGUAAACCAGGGCGCGAACCGGCGUUGAGCUGUGCAGCUGCGCCCUGGGCUCCAGUCCUGCUCUGCCGCAGACCCCACCGGAGCCAGCACCUGCCUCCCCGACCCUCGCUGGGGCGGCUGUGAGAUGAGCCCAGAGCCUUCCUGAGCCAACCCUCGCAAGGAAAGUCUGUCUGUUCACCCCACUAUCCUUGUCUUGAAGGAUGAAGAAAAGAGGGCCCCCCGGGAGGUCCCAAAAGGUGGAAUGGACAUCUGGGAUCCAAGCACAGCAAUUUCUUUAUUUUUCUUAAGGUAUCCAGCUUGUUGGAAUCUAAGAUCUGCGAAGGUAUUAAUAGAAUUCCUGCAUCUUCUGCCACUCCCCAUAGAAGCUUGAAGUUACACAAAUGUUAAAUUAUACGUCAGAUGUGCAUAUAUGAACAAAACCUACGAGUGUGCAUGAAAUAACACCUUCUUA
rnacentral:lncRNA from 10 species